UCUGCAAGUGGGCUAAUUUGAUGAAGACUAAAAAGAGUGAUAAAGGGGGAUAGCUGACACGAUGAUCUGGCAACACGCUGUACUACAAUGUCAGCGAGCUGCAGCGCUGCCAAUCCUGGUAGAGCCUGAAGGUUGAUGAACGACGGCGGUUUGAAGCGGAUGGAGAGCGCCCCGGGCUGAGGAGAGACAAACACACAGCGCAGGAGUGUAAUAAACAACACUGACUGAGAAAAUCAAAGAAGGCAGGAUAGAGUGAGCUCCUGAACUGAGUCUUACCGUUGAACUGGGCGUGUUGGUGCCAUAUCCUGAGGAAGGAAGAGAAGCCAAAGACCAUCUACGAC